CGCCAAGUUCGUCCAGCGGAAAAAGGCCACAAAAACGGGUGGGCUAUAGCCUUGGGGGGUGGGGCUGGCCAACUUCGUCCGCCGGACUCGGAAUGCCGCGUGACUUUGCAAGGGGCCUCCGUGUGCCAAAAAUAGGCCGCGGGCAAAGCCGCGCCCAAAAUUAACCGCCCGAAGGCCGGGGCGCCAAGUUCGUCCAGCGGAAAAAGGCCACAAAAACGGGUGGGCUAUAGCCUUGGGGGGUGGGGCUGGCCCACUUCGUCCGCCGGACUCGGAAUGCCGCGGGACUUUGCGAGGGGCCUCCGUGUGCCAAAAAUAGGCCGCGGGCAAAGCCGCGCCCAAAAUUAACCGGCCGAAGGCCGGGGCGCCAAGUUCGUCCAGCGGAAAAAGGCCACAAAAACGGGUGGGCUAUAGCCUUGGGGGGUGGGGCUGGCCGACUUCGUCCGCCGGACUCGGAAUGCCGCGAGACUUUGCGAGGGGCCUCCGUGUGCCAAAAAUAGGCCGCGGGCAAAGCCGCGCCCAAAAAUAACUGCCCGAAGGCCGGGGCGCCAAGUUCGUCCAGCGGAAAAAGGCCACAAAAACGGGUGGGCUAUAGCCUUGGGGGGUGGGGCUGGCCAACUUCGUCCGCCGGACUCGGAAUGCCGCGAGACUUUGCGAGGGGCCUCCGUGUGCCAAAAAUAGGCCGCGGGCAAAGCCGCGCCCUAAAAAUACCGCCCGAAGGCCGGGGCGCCAAGUUCGUCCAGCGGAAAAAGGCCACAAAAACGGGUGGGCUAUAGCCUUGGGGGGUGGGGCUGGCCAACUUCGUCCGCCGGACUCGGAAUCCCGCGAGACUUUGCGAGGGGCCUCCGUGUGCCAAAACUAGGCUACGGGCAAAGCCCUGCCCAAAAAUACCAGCCCGCUGGCCGGGGCUCCAAGUUCGUCCAGCAGAAAAAGGCCACAAAAACGGGUGGGCUAUAGCCUUGGGGGGUGGGGCUCGCCAACUUCGUCAGCCGGACUCGAAAUGCCGCGAGACUUUGCGAGGGGCCUCCAUGUGCCAAUAAUAGGCCGCGGGCAAAGCCGCGCGAAAAAAUAACCACCCGAAGGCCGGGGCACCAAGUUCGUCCAGCGGAAAAAGGCCACAAAAACGGGUGGGCUAUAUCCUUGGGGGGUGGGGCUGGCCAACUUCGUCAGCCGGACUCGGAAUGCCGCGAGACUUUGCGAGGGGCCUCCGUGUGCCAAAAAUAGUCCUCGGACAAAGCUGCGCCCAAAACUAACAGCCCGAAGGCCGGGGCGCCAAGUU
rnacentral:lncRNA from 1 species